UACGGGGGGGGUAAGCGUUGUUCGGAAUUACUGGGCGUAAAGGGCUCGUAGGCGGCCAACUAAGUCAUACGUGAAAUCCCUCAGCUUAACUGGGGAACUGCGUGUGAUACUGGAUGGCUUGGAUUCGGGAGAGGGAUGCGGAAUUCCAGGUGUAGCGGUGAAAUGCGUAGAUAUCUGGAGGAACACCGGUGGCGAAGGCGGCAUCCUGGACCGAGAUUGACGCUGAUGCGCGAAAGCCAGGGGAGCAAACGGG
rnacentral:rRNA from 1 species